GGAGACAGCAGAGACCCCUGGCGCAGUUGCAUCGCUGGAAGUGGGGUCUGCAGUGCUGAUGGUGUUGGUUGGAGUGCUUGGAGUUCUCAGCGAGCACUAGGAGCAUCGAUUGGCGGAGGUACUCAGUCGGAGUGUCAGCGUUCCGUCACAGGAACGAUCGCCUAAACGGUUUUAACCCCUUGUGUGCUGAAACGGUCCGUUACAGGCGAUAUUCCCCUUUCAGAUUCAC